UAGAGAUAUGGAUGAUUUUAGCAAAGACCUGGGAUAUAAAUUUGAGAUAUUUUAACUCCUCCACAAAACUUUAAGCAGUUCUGCUGUACCACAACCCCCAUUUCUCAUUUUAGCCUCAUUUUUUCCUCAUUUUUUCCCCAUGUUUUUUACCACCAACUCUGCGCUCACCUCACCUACACAUUUUCAUAUUUCCCUGGUUUUUUUUUUUCCCCAUUUUCAGGUGACGAUUCCUGGGAUUUGAUCACCUGCUACUGCCAGAAACCUUUCGCGGGUCGGCCCAUGAUCGAGUGCAGCCAAUGUGGGACCUGGAUCCAUCUUUCCUGCGCAAAAGUCAAGAAAAACAACGUCCCCGACGUUUUUUAUUGCCAAAAAUGCCGCGAGGGACCCCGCAGAGCCACCCCCAACACCCCCAGAUCCACGGGGGAYUCCUAAAAAUCCCACCCCGACCCUCACGGGGGUUUUUUUUUGGGGGGUGGGGGCCUCAAAUUGGGAGAUUUUGGGGUUUGGGACUCUCCCAGAAUUGGAGAUUUUGGGGGUGGUGAUGCUCCCCAAAAUUAUGGGGGUUUGUAACCUCUGGAAAUUGUGAUGGUUUGGGGUGUGUGAACCUCCCCCCCCCAAAAUCAUGAGGAUUUUAGGGUCUAAACCCCACGCCCCUGAAAUUGUGAGAUCUUGGGGUUUAUGAUUUUUUCCCAAAAUUGUGGGAUUUUGGGGGUUGGAACCUUUACCAAAAUAGUGAGAUUUUUUUUGGGGGGGUUGUAAACCCCUCAAAUCAUGCGGUUUUGGGGCCCCCCUAAAAUAGGGGAUUUUGUGGGGUCCUCGCCUCAAAUUGGGCGGUUUUGGGGUCCCGGUUAAAAUUUGGGGAAUUUCAAUCCCUCAGCCAACCCAGGGGGAGGUUUUUGGGGUCCCUCAUCUGCAGGACAGGAGGGUUUUUGGGGUUGCUUUUCCUCCUUGGGGUACAAAUUUGGGCGUCUCCUACCCCAAAUCAUGAAUUUUUUGGGGGUCCUCCACCCCAAAGAUGGGAAGAUUUGGGGGGGUUGUUCACCCCAAAUUAAGAUUUGGGGGAGCUCCCUGUAGAUAAUGGGGGUGUUUGGGGGCUCCCCUACCCCAAAUUAUAAAUUUUUGGGGGUCCCUCACCCCAGACAAAAAGAUUUUGGGGGCCUCCCCUAAAAUAGGGGGGGUUGGGGGCUUUCUUUGCCCCAAAUCAUGAGAUUUUGGGGUCCCACACCCCCAGGAAAGGAGAGCUUGGGGGUCCCACAUCCCAAAUUAAGAGAUUUGGGGAAAACCCCCCUAAAAUGGGUGGGUUUGAGGUCCCCUACCCCAAAAAAAAGAGAGUUUUGGGGUUUCUCACCCCGCGUUAGGAGUUUUUGGGGUCCUGGUUGAAAUCUGAGGGGCUCCUCUACGUUUGGGGGUCUUUUAUUCCCCCCCAGGACAUGGAAUUUGGGGUCCUGUACCCCAAUUCAUGAGGUUUUGGGGUCUCUCAACCCCUGUAGAAGAUUUUAGGGGAGGGGGUGGAUUUGGGGGUCCCUCACCCCAAACUCGGAGGUUUUGGAAACAAGUUUUUUCAUGUGUGUUAUUUUUCUAAACGUUCCCUGCACCCCACUUUUUUGGGGGGGCCUCCCCCGAAGUUUUUUGGGGGGUGUUUAGAGCAUCAUUUUGAAGGGGGGGACACCCCCAAAAACGGGCAGGGUCUGUCCCAAUUUUGGGGGAGUUUUAAGGGGGGAUUUGGGGGGAUCCUCCCUCAAACCUUCUCCCAGUUGGAAUUUGGGGGGGCCCCCCCCUCCCACACCUUUUACUCCCUCCCCUCUUUGUUUGAAGGAUAAUAUUUUGGAUUUUGGGGGGCUGCAGCCCCCGCCAUUGUAAAUAAACGGCGCUGUUGCUUCGUA